GCGGGCGUAGAUCAAUUGGUUAGAUCGCAUCCCUGUCACGGAUGAGGUUGCGGGUUCGAGUCCCGUCGCCCGCGCAA
rnacentral:tRNA from 3 species